rnacentral:rRNA from 1 species
CUACGGGACGCUGCAGUGAGGAAUAUUGCACAAUGGGGGGAACCCUGAUGCAGCAACGCUGCGUGGAGGAUGACGCAUUUCGGUGUGUAAACCCCUUUUAUAUGUCAAGAAAAUGACGGUAGCAUAUGAAUAAGCACCGGCUAACUCCGUGCCAGCAGCCGCGGUAAUACGGAGGGUGCAAGCGUUACUCGGAAUCACUGGGCGUAAAGGACGCGUAGGCGGGUUGGAAAGUCAGGUGUGAAAUCCUACAGCUUAACUGUAGAACUGCACUUGAAACUUCUAAUCUAGAGUAUGGGAGGGGGAGGUGGAAUUAGUGGUGUAGGGGUAAAAUCCGUAGAUAUCACUAGGAAUACCUAAAGCGAAGGCGAUCUCCUGGAACAUUACUGACGCUAAGGCGUGAAAGCGUGGGGAGCAAACAGGAUUAGAUACCCCCGUAGUC